AAGUCACCAGGGAGUGGCGCUGUUGG
rnacentral:piRNA from 1 species